GAAGGGUGGGGUGAAGACACAACAGAAUGGCUUCUAAAGAGGAGCCUCUUCUCCGGUGCCGGUUUUAUCUGUUGCGUAUAAAGGACCGACGCAUCGGGAGUUGAUGUUCUAAUUAGAUCGCGGCAGAGCGGCCGGGUCCCCGGCUGUUGUCGGCUGCAUCUGGCGGCUCCACGCCACAUUGCCUAACAUGUCGGGCGCACUCAACCCGUCAAACGGUGUCAAUCGCUUUCACGCUAGCCCGGCCACGGCGGCGGCUCCUUUUGGCACACCUGAGUGCGGCUCAGCGGCAGCUUUCCUAGAGCUCACGAACUCCGCCGCCGCAGCAGCGGUCGCCGCUGACUUCGCCUACGACUUUGGACUUGCUGCGGGAUUUCGGCACCACCACCCGCCGCCACCGGCCCACUCAACCGCGGCGGGCUUCGGUUACUUUGGCUCGGACGCAGCAGCUGCAGCCGCGGCCGCAGCAGAGAGCUACGCUUCGCUUGCCUGGGAGGCCCAAAGUGCCGCGGCUCUUGCAGCUACUUACCAAGGACAUCAUCAGGCGGGUUCUCAUUUCGGAUCCUGCGAUUUUGGGCCUUUCUCCAUACCUAGCCCCGCGUGUACUGGCGGAAGGAUCCCUGGAAUGGGGGUGCAGCGUCUCGGACCACCAUCGAGAGGUCCUCCCCAUUGUAGUGGUACUGGUAAUACCCCAAAUGGAUCAACCAAGUCCAAGACGCGGAGGAGGGUCGCGACGAUAGCCCAGCGUCGUGCUGCGAACAUCCGCGAGCGGCGUCGGAUGUUCAACCUCAACUCGGCUUUCGACAAGCUGCGGAAGAAAGUACCUACUUUUGCGUACGAAAAGCGCCUGUCGCGAAUCGAGACUCUGAGGCUGGCCAUCAUGUACAUCGCUUUUAUGACGGAAGUGGUUCGUGGCGGUAAGGAUUCAGAUCCCCACCAUGGGCACCAUGACAUUCCAUUAGUACCACCCGGCGCCUAUACCCCUGCUCUUUCAGAUGGCCACAUUUGGACUCCACCCCACGGAGCAACGGCUUUGAAUGAGGGUCAUGGACAGAGACCAGACAGGCUGUCACACAUUUGUUCCCGACAAGUAUAGUCACCUUAAAACCAACUUUUCAUUGCUUACUUCGUGAGGGAAAGAUUGCUUUCAGAGUGCGUGCAAAGAGGAAGAUCUUGGAAUUCUAAGAAAUAAUAAUAUCCAUCAUCUUUGGUUAGUAUUUGCUAAGUAAAGGACAUAAGUUAAAUAAACUGCUAUGUUUCCAAGACGAUCAUGUGUGCAGUAUUAACAGUUGUAAACUUAAAAGCAUAUCAUAUUAUGAGACUCAUUUAAGCCUAUGUUUAUGAACAAAUUAUUGCAAGUUCAACCUUAAAAAAUGUGACUUAUUUCCGACAUAUGUAUUACUUUUCCUAUGUACAGACGAUACUGUCACUGAAUUUGCAACUGGCUUCAUCGUUUCAUCCUAGAUGGGUUUUUCUUUCAUUCCAUUUGUGAAACAUUUUAUUUUGUGUCAAUGUGCUUUUAGUUUUUCAGUUACAGGAUGUUUACACUGCUAAAUACCGAGCUAAAACAUUCAACUUUUGUAAAAUAAAAACAAAGUUUGAUUGACAUUAAGAAAUUAUACUUCUUUACAAUAAUAGAUGUGUUUCAUAGAAUAUUUGCAGAGUAUGAAGAUUUAUAAACUUUUCAAGCAUCUUCCAGAGCAACAAACGCAGCAAAGUCGAUAUUUAAAUAUACUCUUUGAUAAUGAGCUCAAAGCACAAGCUGAGAACAGAUGGUUUAGUUGCAUAAAAAAUUACAUAUUUUGAGGGAAUCUUUUAUGCAAUAUAAAAUAAAAUAAACUUUUUGAUAAAUCUGAAAUCAUCAAGAAUUUACAAAUAUUUUUUUUCUUCUCAAUGAAAUAAGUGAUGAUUUUUGUUGUAUUUUUCGAUUUGAAUAUUACAGAUUUGACUAUUCGUGCGUAUAAGAAAAUGUAGAAAUUUCAGAUGUUAAAUAUUUUACACUGUUUUCUUGCAAAGACAAAAUGUAAAACUGAGUCGUUUUUAUCAUGUAGAGUAAAACCUGCUGUAGGACUGAAGUUUUUUGUAAAGGAACAUGUUCUCUCCGAUGAAUUGUAUUGUGAAAAGGUUUACUCUUUAUGAAGAAUGGGCUUGGCGUGAACUUGUCUUAGCAAUAUUUGCACUUUUUUAUGUUUAACUGUGUUUUUGUAGGCUAUU
rnacentral:misc_RNA from 1 species